ACAUCGGUGGUGAAACGGUUAUCAUCCUUGCCUUCCAUUGGAAGUUAAGCAAGGGGCCCGGGUUCGACUCCCGGCCGAUGUA
rfam:Peniophora sp. CONT PENSPscaffold_7_Cont12, whole genome shotgun sequence.